UACAGAGGUCCCAAGCGUUGUUCGGAUUCACUGGGCGUAAAGGGUGCGUAGGCGGUCGGGUAAGUCCGUUGUGAAAGUCAAAGGCUCAACCUUUGAAAGCCGAUGGAUACUGCCGGGCUGGAGUCCGGAAGAGGCGAGUGGAAUUCCUGGUGUAGCGGUGGAAUGCGCAGAUAUCAGGAGGAACACCAAUAGCGAAGGCAGCUCGCUGGGACGGUACUGACGCUGAGGCGCGAAAGCGUGGGGAGCGAACAGG
rnacentral:rRNA from 1 species